UACGGAGGGUGCGAGCGUUGUUCGGAAUUAUUGGGCGUAAAGCGCACGUAGGCGGCUCUUUAAGUCUCACUGUGAAAGCCUGCGGCUCAACCGCAGGAGGCCAGGGGAUACUGGAGAGCUGGAGAUAGGUAGAGGCGAGCGGAAUUCCGGGUGUAGCGGUGGAAUGCGUAGAGAUCCGGAAGAACACCAGAGGCGAAGGCGGCUCGCUGGACCUCAUCUGACGCUGAGGUGCGAAAGCGUGGGGAGCGAACAGG
rnacentral:rRNA from 1 species